rnacentral:rRNA from 1 species
AUUCCAGCUCCAAUAGCGUAUAUUAAAGUUGUUGCGGUUAAAAAGCUCGUAGUUGGAGUUCUGCCAGGUGCCACCUGUCCGCCCCAGUGGUGAGUACGUGGUGCGCAUUUGGCCCUUUCAAGGGGAGCGUAUUUGCACUUAAUUGUGUGGUGCGGGAUCCUUGACUUUUACUUUGAGGAAAUAAGAGUGUUCCAAGCAGGCUCUCGUCGUGCAUAGCUCAGCAUGGAAUAAUAGCAUUGGACCUCGAUUCUAAGCUGUUGGUUGCCAGAAGCGAGGUAAUGAUGAAGAGGGAUAGUUGGGGGCAUUCGUAUUCAGUUGUCAGAGGUGAAAUUCUUAGACUUCCGGAAGACGAACUACUGCGAAAGCAUUUACCAAGGAUGUUUUCAUUA